rnacentral:misc_RNA from 1 species
CUCUCUCCCUCUCUCUCUUAAAUGGAUUCAAAAAUUUUGGUUCCAUAAUGAUUUAUUUUACUGUUCUGUGUUGAUUCGGUUGCUGAAGAGAGAACAAAUUGGUCUGUUCUUUUUGUGUUUCUGGUCUUAAUCAUUACAUAUACUUGAAAUAGAACCAUGGAAAGACACUUGAAAACACAAUUAGAAAAUGCAACACUACUCUAAAUUUCAAUUUCAAGUUUAAUCAUUCAAGUUA